GUAAAACACAAACAAUUGAUUCAAUCUCAAAUUCUUAUUAAUAUUAAGAUCACUAUACACAAAUUGAAACCAAUUCCUAAUAUAGACACACUGUAGUUAAAAGCACCAAAAGUAAAUAAUACAGUCAGAAGAAAGACAGAUGGGCCUGGCUCAUUAAAAGGAAAGCAAAAAGUAUAAAUGUACAUGAACUUAACAAGCUAAACUAACAAUAUGUUGGGAAGAUAUACUUAAUUAAAGUAAUGCCUCCAUCUACUUCCUUUCUGCAAUGAAGAACUCCAAAAUAUAUACUUAACCAAGAGCCAUUGUGCAUCUAUAAUACGCAC
rnacentral:lncRNA from 1 species